rnacentral:rRNA from 1 species
AGUGUUCAAUAGAACUGUGGUAGGUGAGUAAUGUCCCCUACUAGAAAGGAGAGGGCAAGGCUGGUGCCAGCCGCCGCGGUAAAACCAGCUCUUCAAGUGGUCGGGAUAAUUAUUGGGCUUAAAGUGUCCGUAGCCGGUUUAGUAAGUUCCUGGUAAAAUCGGGUAGCUUAACUAUCUGCAUGCUAGGAAUACUGCUAUACUAGAGGGCGGGAGAGGUCUGAGGUACUACAGGGGUAGGGGUGAAAUCUUAUAAUCCUUGUAGGACCACCAGUGGCGAAGGCGUCAGACUGGAACGCGCCUGACGGUGAGGGACGAAAGCCAGGGGAGCGAACCGGAUUAGAUACCCGGGUAGUCCUGGCCGUAAACGACGCAUACUAGGUGAUGGUACGGCCAUGAGCCGUAUCAGUGCCGUAGGGAAACCGUUAAGUGU